UGGGGAAUAUUGGACAAUGGGGGCAACCCUGAUCCAGCAAUGCCGCGUGUGUGAAGAAGGUCUUCGGAUUGUAAAGCACUUUCGACGGGGACGACGAUGACGGUACCCGUAGAAGAAGCCCCGGCUAACUUCGUGCCAGCAGCCGCGGUAAUACGAAGGGGGCUAGCGUUGCUCGGAAUGACUGGGCGUAAAGGGCGUGUAGGCGGUUUACACAGUCAGAUGUGAAAUCCCCGGGCUUAACCUGGGAGCUGCAUUUGAUACGUGUAGACUAGAGUGUGAGAGAGGGUUGUGGAAUUCCCAGUGUAGAGGUGAAAUUCGUAGAUAUUGGGAAGAACACCGGUGGCGAAGGCGGCAACCUGGCUCAUGACUGACGCUGAGGCGCGAAAGCGUGGGGAGCAAACAGGAUUAGAUACCCUGGUAGUCCACGCUGUAAACGAUGUGUGCUAGAUGUUGGGUAACUUUGUUAUUCAGUGUCGCAGUUAACGCGUUAAAGCA
rnacentral:rRNA from 1 species